rnacentral:rRNA from 1 species
CAGCCGCCGCGGGAAUACGAAGGGUGCAAGCGUUACUCGGAAUUACUGGGCGUAAAGCGUGCGUAGGUGGUGGUUUAAGUCCGUUGUGAAAGCCCUGGGCUCAACCUGGCAAUUGCAGUGGAUACUGGGUCACUAGAGUGUGGUAGAGGAUAGUGGAAUUUCCGGUGUAGCAGUGAAAUGCGUAGAGAUCGGAAGGAACAUCUGUGGCGAAGGCGACUAUCUGGGCCAACACUGACACUGAGGCACGAAAGCGUGGGGAGCAAACAGGAUUAGAUACCCCAGUAGUCCCUGUCUCUUAUAC